ensembl:lncRNA
GUUGAAGCUUAUCCCUCUCCUCCUAGGCUCUUCAAGACUGAUUUUCAAACAUAGACUGGCCUGCAAUCCCAGUAUUUUAGGAGGGCAAGGUGGGCCGAUCAUUUGAGGCAAGGAGUUCGAGACCAGCCUGACCAAUAUGGCAAAACCCAGCCUAUAUUAAAUAUUUUUGUAAUUAGCCAAGCGUGGUGGCACACACCUAUAAUCCCAGCUACUUGGGAGGCUGAGGCAGGGAGAACUGCUUGAAACCAGGAGGCGGAGGUUGCAGUGAGCCAAGAUCGCACCACUGCACUCCAGCUUGGGCGACAAAGAGAGACGGUCUCAAACUAGAACUUAGCCCUCAGGAAAAGCAUUGAGCACCCCCCACCCAAACCAACCCAAGGAAUCACAUGGCAAUGGUUAUCAUCUGAUUUCGACAAAUAAAGUUCUGUUCUCCCCUCUGAACACAAUGGUAAACACCUGCCAUCAGCCCACAGAAACUCCCAGGACCCAGUAACACUGGACUAGCAAGAUCAAUGGGCCACGUAUGCAGGGUUCAGCAGCAGAAAGUCAUGGCACCGAGAAUGGUGUGUGCUCAAACCAGAUUCCUUGCUUUCGGGGUGAAGGGGCUUCCCGGGAAAAUCUAGUCCAGUGGGAUGGUUUCCACUUCCACCAUGAGGAGGAAAUGGGGGUUUCUGAGGGCACUGACAGGACCUGGGUCUCUGCCCCUUUGUCCUCUGUCCUGUUAUGGGAUGAGGGUGGGCUGAAGGCAGGUUUCCCCUACAUCUUCCGGGCAGGAGAGAUGGAGCUGACAAGUGGACGACGCUUUUUCCAAAACAUUCCCAUGUUUAUAACCUGUUAUCAACCUGUUUUCCCUGGAGAUCAGUGAAGCAGCAUCAUUGAUUCUCUUCCAUUAGGGACAACCCGGUGUUACGGGAGGAGACGACAUGCGAGCUGGUCUGAGUCAGUCACUUGUGUCUGGUCCCCAGCGUGCUCAUCUAUCAAAUGGGCGGCCCCACAGACCAGUGACUUUGAACCAGAGUUCCAUGGAGGUUGCCCAAGGACAGGGAGGGGAAGAGGGGAAGAGGGGAAGAGGAGGAAGAGGGAGGAAGAGGAGGAAGGGAGAGGAGGAAAGGGAGAAGGAAGGAAGAAGGGGAGAGGAAGGAAGGAAGAAGGGGAGAGGAAGGAAGGAAGAAGGGAAGGGGAAGGAAGAAGGGGAGGGAAGAGGAGGAGGGGAGGAGGAGGGAGGAGGUGGGGGAGGAGGGAGCACUGUGGAAGGAGGAGCAGAAGGGGGGUUCUCUGAGGAGGAGGGCCAAGUUUUUGAGGUGUCUUGGAGUCAGAGGUGGCAGUGGCUUGGGCUCUAGGCCCUCUGUUGCAUAGUUUUAGGCUUUAACUAUUUAUAUUUGUGGACUCUUUAAAAGAUUUAAUUUGAAGGAAACCGGAGUUGGGGAUACCUUGCUUCUAAAACACAAUUUCUCAAGCCUGAGACUAAGUGCUAGGCAUUGCUCAUUCUGUUACAAUCAUUUCCUCCUAUUUAAAAUCAGCCACACACCCCCAAUCUCUCUUCAGGGCAAACAUCUUUUCCGAGGAUCUCAAACAGCAGAGCGAAGCGCCCGUGACCCCAGCCGUAGGCACGAGGAGCUAAGAGGAGACGUGGAGAGGGCUGCUGAUGACAUGAGAGGUAGAGGCCCGGCACCUCCCUGCAGGGGCUGUGCUCCUCCAGGCCUAAAGGACAUCCUCGCCUCUGGGGUGAACAAGCAGCACAAACUAUCAACACUUAUUCCAAAAGAACAGGAAGAAAAUUCAAACGAAGUUAAUACAGUUACCCCAACACAACACUGCAGCAGCCCAGAAACAGGAGGGCCACUGAGCCUGAGGUGGGCGGUUCCAAUAGCAGGACAGCGACGUUGGCAUUAGGGCUUUUCGGCAAAGAAAAAAAAAAA